GGGCAUUUGGUUUAGUGGUAUGAUUUUCGCUUUGGGUGCGAGAGGUCGUGAGUUCAAUUUACAUAAUGUCCU
rnacentral:tRNA from 1 species